rnacentral:rRNA from 1 species
CCUACGGGGUGCUGCAGUGGGGAAUAUUGGACAAUGGGCGAAAGCCUGAUCCAGCCAUGCCGCGUGUGUGAAGAAGGCCUUCGGGUUGUAAAGCACUUUCAGUGGGGAAGAAAGCCUUGGGGCUAAUACCCUCGAGGAAGGACAUCACCCACAGAAGAAGCACCGGCUAACUCCGUGCCAGCAGCCGCGGUAAUACGGAGGGUGCGAGCGUUAAUCGGAAUUACUGGGCGUAAAGCGCGCGUAGGCGGUCUGAUAAGCCGGUUGUGAAAGCCCCGGGCUCAACCUGGGAACGGCAUCCGGAACUGUCAGGCUAGAGUGCAGGAGAGGAAGGUAGAAUUCCCGGUGUAGCGGUGAAAUGCGUAGAGAUCGGGAGGAAUACCAGUGGCGAAGGCGGCCUUCUGGACUGACACUGACGCUGAGGUGCGAAAGCGUGGGUAGCAAACAGGAUUAGAUACCCUAGUCGUC